CACAGGUGCUGCAUGGCGGUCGUCAGCUCGUGUCGUGUGAUGUUGGGUUAAGUCCCGCAACGAGCGCAACCCUUGUCUGUAGUUGCUACGCAAGAGCACUCUAAAGAGACUGCCGGUGACAAACCGGAGGAAGGUGGGGAUGACGUCAAGUCCUCAUGGCCCUUAUGGGUAGGGCUUCACACGUCAUACAAUGGUACGUACAGAGGGUUGCCAACCCGCGAGGGGGAGCUAAUCUCUUAAAACGUAUCGUAGUCCGGAUUGUAGUCUGCAACUCGACUACAUGAAGCUGGAAUCGCUAGUAAUCGCGGAUCAGCAUGCCGCGGUGAAUACGUUCCCGGUCUUGUACACACCGCCCGUCACACCAUGGGAGUGGGUUUUGCCAGAAGCCGUUAGCCUAACCGCAGGA
rnacentral:rRNA from 1 species